rnacentral:rRNA from 1 species
UACGUAGGGGGCAAGCGUUGUCCGGAAUCAUUGGGCGUAAAGCGCGUGUAGGCGGCCUAGUAAGUCCGUUCUGAAAGCCCGGGGCUCAACCCCGGGAGGCGGAUGGAUACUGCUGGGCUCGAGUCCGGAAGAGGCAAGUGGAAUUCCCGGUGUAGCGGUGAAAUGCGCAGAUAUCGGGAGGAACACCAGUGGCGAAGGCGACUACCCGGCCUGUUCUUGACGCUGAGGCGCGAAAGCUAGGGGAGCAAACGGG